AAGAGACGUUGCCCUUCGGGGUAUACCUCCCACCCUUUGUUUAUUAUACCUUUGUUGCUUUGGCGGGCCCGUCCUCAGACCACCGGCUUCUGCUGGUCAGUGCCCGCCAGAGGACCUAAAACUCUGUUUGUUAAUGUUGUCCUGAGUACUAUAUAAUAGUUA
rnacentral:misc_RNA from 1 species